CAGUCGCCACGGUAAUACGUAGGGUGCAAGCGUUAAUCGGAAUUACUGGGCGUAAAGCGUGCGCAGGCGGUUUGUUAAGACAGAUGUGAAAGCCCUGGGCUCAACCUGGGAAUUGCAGUGGAUACUGGAUCACUAGAGUGUGGUAGAGGAUAGUGGAAUUUCCGGUGUAGCAGUGAAAUGCGUAGAGAUCGGAAGGAACAUCUGUGGCGAAGGCGACUAUCUGGGCCAACACUGACACUGAGGCACGAAAGCGUGGGGAGCAAACAGGAUUAGAUACCCCGGUAGUCCCUGUCUCUUAUAC
rnacentral:rRNA from 1 species